GACGGUGUGGUGUAGCGGUUCAGCACGUCCUCACCAUAGAUGCAGAGGGAGACCUUGGUUCGAAUCCAAGAGCCGUCG
rnacentral:tRNA from 1 species